GCGACCCCAGGAUGGGCGAGGCCACCCGCCGAAUUUAAGCAUAUCAAUAAGCGGAGGAGAAGAAAC
rnacentral:rRNA from 1 species